GAUGAAGAACGUAGCGAAAUGCGAUAACUAAUGUGAAUUGCAGAAUUCCGUGAAUCAUCGAGUCUUUGAACGCACAUUGCGCCCCCUGGUAUUCCGGGGGGCAUGCCUGUCCGAGCGUCAUUACAACCCUCAAGCUCAGCUUGGUGUUGGGCCCCGCCGCCCCGGCGGGCCCUAAAGUCAGUGGCGGUGCCGUCCGGCUCCGAGCGUAGUAAUUCUUCUCGCUCUGGAGGUCCGGUCGUGUGCUCGCCAGCAACCCCCAAUUUUUUUCAGGUUGACCUCGCAUCAGGUAGGGAUACCCGCUGAACUUAAGCAUAUCAAUAAGCGGAGGA
rnacentral:misc_RNA from 1 species